UGGUGUCAGCCGCCGCGGUAAAACCAGCACCUCAAGUGGUCAGGAUGAUUAUUGGGCCUAAAGCAUCCGUAGCCGGCUCUGUAAGUUUUCGGUUAAAUCUGUACGCUUAACGUACAGGCUGCCGGGAAUACUGCAAAGCUAGGGAGUGGGAGAGGUAGACGGUACUCGGUAGGAAGUGGUAAAAUGCUUUGAUCUAUCGAUGACCACCUGUGGCGAAGGCGGUCUACCAGAACACGUCCGACGGUGAGGGAUGAAAGCUGGGGGAGCAAACCGGAUUAGAUACCCGGGUAGUCCCAGCUGUAAACUAUGCAAACUCAGUGAUGCAUUGGCUUGUGGCCAAUGCAGUGCUGCAGGGAAGCCGUUAAGUUUGCCGCCUGGGAAGUACGUACGCAAGUAUGAAACUUAAAGGAAUUGGCGGGGGAGCACCACAAGGGGUGAAGCCUGCGGUUC
rnacentral:rRNA from 1 species